AACAGUCUCAGUUCAGAUUGUAGGCUGAAACUCGCCUGUAUGAAGUCGGAAUUGCUAGUAAUCGCGGAUCAGCAUGCCGCGGUGAAUACGUUCCCGGGCCUUGUACACACCGCCCGUCACACCAUGAGAGUCGAUAACACCCGAAGCCUGUAGUCUAACAGCAAUGAGGACGCAGUCGAAGGUGGGAUUGAUAAUUAGGGUGAAGUCGUAACAAGGUAAC
rnacentral:rRNA from 1 species